GCCUGCACCCAGGUGAAAUAAACAGCCAUGUUGCUCACACAAAGCCUGUUUGGUGGUCUCUUCACACGGAUGCACAUGAAAUUUUGUGCCGUGACUCGGAUUGGGGGACCUCCCUUGGGAGAUCAAUCCCCUGUCCUCCUGUUCUUUGCUCCGUGAGAAAGAUCCACCUAGGACCUCAGGUCCUCAGACCGACCAGCCCAAGAAACAUCUCACCAAUUUCAAAUCAGAAGGCAGGAAUGUCAAGCCUCUGAGCCCAAGCCAAGCCAUCGCAUCCCCUGUGACUUGCACGUAUACGCCCAGAUGGCCUGAAGUAACUGAAGAAUCACAAAAGAAGUGAAUAUGCCCUGCCCCACCUUAACUGAUGACAUUCCACCACAAAAGAAGUGUAAAUGGCCGGUCCUUGCCUUAAGAGAUGACAUUACCUUGUGAAAGUCCUUUUCCUGGCUCAUCCUGGCUCAAAAAGCACCCCCACUGAGCACCUUGUGACCCCCACUCCUGCCCGCCAGAGAACAAACCCCCUUUGACUGUAAUUUUCCUUUACCUACCCAAAUCCUAUAAAACGGCCCCACCCUUAUCUCCUUUCGCUGACUCUCUUUUCGGACUCAGCCCGCCUGCACCCGGGUGAAAUAAACAGCCAUGUUGCUCACACAAAGCCUGUUUGGUGGUCUCUUCAUACGGACGCACAUGAAAGUUUCCCCUCUUGCCUUUCUUGAUGGAGUGAUAGCCCCUUGUGGUCUGGUGCUGCCCCAAUUCUUGAAUCUCUGAAUGCUCCGAUAAACUCUUUAAAAUUGAAA